rnacentral:sRNA from 1 species
GCUGGGCUCGGUGGCACAUGCCUGUAAUCCCAGCGUCUCAGGAGGCUGAGACAGGAGGAUCAUGAGUUCAAAGCCAGCUUCAGCAAUGGCAAGGUGCUAAGCAACUCAAUGAGACCCUGUCUCUA